AGCAGUAGCCACGGGAAUACGGAGGGGGCAAGCGUUAUCCGGAGUUAUUGGGCGUAAAGGGUACGUAGGUGGCCUUUUAAGCGUAGGGUAUAAGGCAAUGGCUCAACCAUUGUUCGCCCUAUGAACUGGAAGGCUUGAGUGCAGGAGAGGAAAGCGGAAUUCCUAGUGUAGCGGUGGAAUGCAUAGAUAUUAGGAGGAACAUCAGCGGCGAAGGCGGCUUUCUGGACUGCAACUGACACUGAGGUACGAAAGCGUGGGGAGCAAACAGGAUUAGAUACCCGGGUAGUCCCUGUCUCUUAUACA
rnacentral:rRNA from 1 species